rnacentral:rRNA from 1 species
ACGAGUGGCGGACGGGUGAGUAAUGUCUGGGAAACUGCCUGAUGGAGGGGGAUAACUACUGGAAACGGUAGCUAAUACCGCAUAACGUCGCAAGACCAAAGAGGGGGACCUUCGGGCCUCUUGCCAUCGGAUGUGCCCAGAUGGGAUUAGCUAGUAGGUGGGGUAACGGCUCACCUAGGCGACGAUCCCUAGCUGGUCUGAGAGGAUGACCAGCCACACUGGAACUGAGACACGGUCCAGACUCCUACGGGGGCAGCAUG